GUUUUCUUGAAAAUAAAUGGAAUUAAAUUCAUUCGUAAAUAUUUCUCAUUCUUUAGGAAUAUGGAGACAUUUCAAUCGACCAAAUUCUUGCUAAAACUAAUAAUAAAGAGAAUGUGGGCGACCAAGAAUUCGAGUUGAUGGAGCUUGAUAUAAUUGUAGAUAAAAGUGUCAAGACGCCUUCAAGUAACCGUGCAAAUAUUAACAAAGACGAAACAAGACGUUGGCAGCCAGAAAUACACUAUGCAAUUGGUGACGAAAUAAGUACAGAACAUGAAAAUGAAAUCCGAAAGGCCAUUCCUGUUUGGCAGAAGUACUCAUGCCUCAGUUUCCAUGAAAACAAGCAGGCGUACCACAGAAUAGAGUUCAAGCUGGCAAA